GUGUCAGCCGCCGCGGUAAUACAGAGGGCGCAAGCGUUGUUCGGAAUUACUGGGCGUAAAGCGCGCGCAGGCGGAACGGACAAGUCCGGAGUGAAAUCUCGCCGCUCAACGGCGAGGCUGCUUUGGAUACUGACGAUCUAGGGACCGGUAGAGGCUGGUAGAAUUGCAGGUGUAGCGGUGGAAUGCGUAGAGAUCUGCAAGAAUACCCGUGGCGAAGGCGGCCAGCUGGGCCGGGUCCGACGCUGAGGCGCGAAAGCGUGGGGAGCAAACAGGAUUAGAAACCCUUGUAGUCC
rnacentral:rRNA from 1 species